ACAAAGUUUGAUUCUUUCUUGAAUAUUUGCGUUUUUGCUAGUACUUGCAUGAAAGUUAUAGCGAGUUAUAGUAAUUAUAUUGUUUGAUACAAUAUAAUGUUGAUAAUAAAUCGAGUUGCAAUUUCUAUAAAAUUUUAAACCUCAGCAUAAAUUAUUGAAUAAUUUACAAAAUAAGAUUUAGUAGUAAAAUUAAACCUGGCGAAACAUUGUGCCAGCAGCCGCGGUUAGACUUUAAGGUUGAGUGAAUAAACUUGGGUGCUAGUGAAAGGUAAGUUUUAAUUAAAAAAUUAUAAAAGUAAUGGGUGAAAUCAGAUUGUUUUUAUUUAAUAGAUUAUAAACUUUUAUUGAAGCUAAGAAUUUUUAGAUUUAAACCAGGAUUAGAUACCCUAUUAUACUAAAAGUAAAUAUUUAACACCUAAUUAUUAAUAGAUAUGUUCUUUAAAUUUGAAGAAUUUGGCGGUAAUUUAGUCUUGUCAGAGGAAUCUGUUCUUGAAUCGAUACACCACGUUAAAUUUUACUUCUUUUUGUUAAAUAGCAGUUUAUAUACCGUCAUUAUCAAAUAAUUUUAAUAGAAAGAAUUAUUGAACUUUAUAUAUACAAAUAUAAUAAAAAUUAGAUCAAGGUGUAGCUUAUAAAGAAGUUAGGAUGGAUUACAAUAAAAUUUAUUUAUACGGAAAAAUUUAGUAAGAAUAAAUUAUGAAGGAGGAUUUGAUUGUAAUUUGAAUUUAAAAUAUUCAGAAGAUAUAAGCUCUAAAUUAUGUACAUAUCGCCCGUCGCUCUCAUUGUAAAGAUAAGAUAAGUCGUAACAUAGUAGAUUUACUGGAAGGUGAAUCUAGUUUGAA
rnacentral:ncRNA from 1 species